UUUCCACCUUCUUCCUUUGAUCCAAGCCACAUUUCAACUUUAAACCUUAUUUCCUUCACUAAAAUCAACUUGAAAUCCUUUCUUAAGCUUGUUUCCAUCUUCAUCCUCCCAUCAAGGCUUAGGGUUUUACUUAAGUUAGUGAGAGGAAAUUCAAGUAAAGAGAAAAGGCUUGGAAAAGGAACUCCAAGUAAAGGAAAGGAAGAAGUGGUUGAGUAGAAAAAAGAACUAUCUCCUAUUUUUGGUGAUUUUGAAGGUAAGUUCUCAUGAAAAUUCUCUUACUUAAUAAUGAAAAAUCACUAAUGAGUUAAUUAAUGUAAUAAAUGAUGAAGAGAAAGUGUGCAAUAAGUUUUCUAUUAUUAUAAUAUAUAUAUAUGUAUAUGAAUUGAGAUAAAUAAGUAGAGGUGAUAAUUUGUUCACCAAAAUGGUAGAACCUUAUUAAAUGAGGAAAAUGGAGAAAUAAUGGUGAUAACUGAAAUAACGACUUGUAUAUGACUUAUGUGAAAGAAAGUUGAAGUUAUGAUCACGCUAUUGUGUCUAAAUUACUAUAAUUGUGAAAGGUUGAUCUGCCGUAAUUCAGUGUAGCCAAUCAAACUAAUUUCCACACUUUAAGAGCUUGAAAGCCAGUAUUUUCAUUAGGUAUUAAUUAUAUUUUUGUAAGUUUUUGUUAAGUUAAUAAAAUGUGCAAAUUGAGUCUUUUAUUGACGUUAAAGGUCGAAUGAGGCCUAAGGGUGAUCUAAUGAACUUUGUAAGUGUACAGGAGACCAUUAGAAAGCGUAAUAAAUCGAUUUUGGUUGCUAUGUCGCAACACAGAAUGUUUGAUGUCACAACAUAAUAAGCAUAAUGGAGAAAUCACGAAACUACCUUUUGUGUCAUGACGUACCCUGAAGAUUUCCCAAGAGGAGUACAUUGACUGCUAUGUCACGACACAAGACCUAGUGUGUCGAGACAUUGACUCUAGACGGGAAUUAAACACGAGACAGGGGAGUUUUGGUCCGCACAAUCAAACUUAAAGCUUAGGAACAUCAGCUGACCUAGGGUUAAGGACGACGAGCACCUAAAAUCUAUAAAUAGGCUCAUUUGUCACAUGUUAAAGACACAAUUCACUUAGCCUAGAUUUAGUCUUUUAAUUUCAGAUUACUUUUCUCUUUUCUUAGGUUAGAUUUAUUUUCAUUCUUUCUUGUUCUAUUUUGAGAGAUCUGUAUUGUGGAGACAAUCAAACCUUGUGGAUCCGCGAUCAAUCUUAAUACAACUCUAUGUUAUCGAUUUAUUUGGCA